GACGAACGCUGGCAGCGUGCCUAAUACAUGCAAGUCGAGCGGACCACUUCGGUGGUCAGCGGCGGACGGGUGAGUAACACGUGGGCAACCUGCCUGUAAGACUGGGAUAACACCGGGAAACCGGUGCUAAUACCGGAUAAUCCUUUCCUUCACAUGAGGGAAAGCUGAAAGACGGUUUCGGCUGUCACUUACAGAUGGGCCCGCGGCGCAUUAGCUAGUUGGUGAGGUAACGGCUCACCAAGGCAACGAUGCGUAGCCGACCUGAGAGGGUGAUCGGCCACACUGGGACUGAGACACGGCCCAGACUCCUACGGGAGGCAGCAGUAGGGAAUCUUCCGCAAUGGACGAAAGUCUGACGGAGCAACGCCGCGUGAGCGAUGAAGGCCUUCGGGUCGUAAAGCUCUGUUGUCAGGGAAGAACAAGUACCGGAGUAACUGCCGGUACCUUGACGGUACCUGACCAGAAAGCCACGGCUAACUACGUGCCAGCAGCCGCAGUAAUAC
rnacentral:rRNA from 1 species